rnacentral:rRNA from 1 species
GCCUUGUAGCGGGGGUAACGUUUCAAAGGAACGCUAAACGCAUACGUCCUACGGGAGAAAGGAGGGGAUCUUCGGACCUUCCACUAAAGAUGAGCCCAAGCGGAUUAGUAGUUGGUAAGGUAAAGGCUUACCAAGGCGACGAUCUCUAGCUGGUCUGAGAGGAUGAUCAGCCCACUGGGACUGAGACACGGCCCAACUCCU